CUGUUGAAAAGGUAAACCAUCCGCAAGGAUGGGACACAAAGCUAUAGGGCCCAGUUAAAAGUUGAGGGCAGCCAGUUACCAAC
rnacentral:ncRNA from 1 species